rnacentral:rRNA from 1 species
AGAGUUUGAUCAUGGCUCAGAACGAACGCUGGCGGCGCGUUUUAAGCAUGCAAGUCGAACGGGAUCCCGACCACUCACUGAUGGGUGCAGGGCCUUACGGUGAGAAGAAAUGGUAAACCGGAAAGGAUAACUGGCAACCAUGAGUGAGUGGCCGGGUGAGAGUGGCGCACGGGUGAGUAACGCGUAGGUGAUCUACCCUUGGGUUGGGGAUAGCUCAUGGAAACAUGAGAUAAUACCGGAUACGACCUUUGUCGCGAGGCAGAGGGGAAAGCUCCUUUACGGGGGCGUCCGAGGAUGAGCCUGCGUUUCAUUAGCUAGUUGGUGGGGUAACGGCCUACCAAGGCGACGAUGGAUAGCCGGCCUGAGAGGGUGUACGGCCACACUGGGACUGAGACACGGCCCAGACUCCUACGGGAGGCAGCAGCUAAGAAUCUUCUGCAAUGGACGAAAGUCUGACAGAGCGACGCCGCGUGAACGAUGAAGGCCGCAAGGUUGUAAAGUUCUUUUCUUCGUGAGGAAUAAGGGUGAGAGGAAAUGCUCAUCUGAUGACGCAAGCGAAGGAAUAAGCCCCGGCCAAUUACGUGCCAGCAGCCGCGGUAAUACGUAUGGGGCGAGCGUUGUUCGGAAUCAUUGGGCGUAAAGGGCGUGUAGGCGGCUUGGCAAGCUUGGUGUGAAAGGUCACGGCUUAACCGUGAAUGUGCGCUGAGAACUGCCAGGCUGGAGUUUUGGGGGGGAAGCUGGAAUUCCUGGUGUAGGGGUGAAAUCUGUAGAUAUCAGGAAGAACACCGAUGGCGAAGGCAAGCUUCUAUCCAAAGACUGAGCUGAGGCGCGAAAGUGUGGGGAGCGAACAGGAUUAGAUACCCUAGUAGUCC